rnacentral:rRNA from 1 species
GCAUAUCAAUAAGCGGAGGAAAAGAAAAUAACAAUGAUUCCCCUAGUAACUGCGAGUGAAGAGGGACAAGCUCAAAUUUUAAAUCUGUCGGGUUCUACCUGACCGAGUUGUAAUUUGAAGAGGCGUUUUCUGUGUUUCUGAUCAGUCCAAGUCCUUUGGGAUAAGGCAUCACGGAGGGUGAGAAUCCCGUUCGAUUGAUCAGAUUCGCUUUAUGAUACGUCAUCAAAGAGUCAAGUUGUUUGGGAUUGCAGCUUAAAAUGGGAGGUAAAUUUCUCCCAAGGCUAAAUAACGGCGAGAGACCGAUAGCGAACAAGUACCGUGAGGGAAAGAUGAAAAGAACUUUGAAAAGAGAGUUAAAUAGUACGUGAAAUUGUUGAAAGGGAAACGAUUGAAGCCAGUCGUACCUGCGGGUAAUCAGCCUUUUGGGCAUGAUUCUGUGGAGCGUGAGGAGUUAAACGCCUUCAUGCCUGCAUAUUCGUGUACUUUGGGUGUACUUGCCUGUGUGGUUAGUUAACAUCAAUUUUGGUUAUCAUAAAAUGGCUGGAGGAAUGUAGCUUCGAUUUCGAUUGAAGUGUUAUAGCCUUCGGCAGAUGUGAUGAUCGGGAUUGAGGAUUGCAACGGAUACCCUUCGGGGCUACCUGUCUGAUCUCUGAUCGUUGCUCUGGUGCCGAAAGCGUGCUUACGGUUAUCAAAGUCGAUGGUUAAUAGGUUAGAACGGGUUAAAUUCGUUAAGGAUGUUGACGUA